GCAGGGGUCCUGCUGCUUUCACCUCCUGAGCAACCUCGGGUUUAUUGUCUGCCAGAAGAACCGCCACGGAAAGAACUGGGGGGGAGUCUGCAGGGGGACAGCAGAGAGGACCCCAGUGCCCCACAGAGAGACUCGCUCUAUGAGGAAAUCCCAUGUGCCGGGGAGAUUCCCUGCCCCUCGGACGAGGAUGACGACUAUUAUAACACCCCCAAGGACUAUUGUAACUGAGAUCCCUGCCGUUCACAGUCCCCUCCGCACCACUGCAGCCUGGAUCUUGAUAAGAGUCCCCCGCUCACGCCCCAGGCACUGUUCACCCUCCUCCAUGAGCUGGGCAAACCCCCGAGAACCC